GAUGAACGCUAGCUACAGGCUUAACACAUGCAAGUCGAGGGGCAGCGGGAUUGAAGCUUGCUUCAAUUGCCGGCGACCGGCGCACGGGUGAGUAACGCGUAUCCAACCUUCCGUACACUCAGGGAUAGCCUUUCGAAAGAAAGAUUAAUACCUGAUGGUAUGAUGAGAUUGCAUGAUAUCAUCAUUAAAGAUUUAUCGGUGUACGAUGGGGAUGCGUUCCAUUAGGUAGUAGGCGGGGUAACGGCCCACCUAGCCAACGAUGGAUAGGGGUUCUGAGAGGAAGGUCCCCCACAUUGGAACUGGGACACGGUCCAAACUCCUACGGGAGGCAGCAGUGAGGAAUAUUGGUCAAUGGACGAGAGUCUGAACCAGCCAAGUAGCGUGAAGGAUGAAGGUCCUACGGAUUGUAAACUUCUUUUAUAAGGGAAUAAACCCUCCCACGUGUGGGAGCUUGUAUGUACCUUAUGAAUAAGCAUCGGCUAACUCCGUG
rnacentral:rRNA from 1 species